UAAGUAGGUAGUGAAAUGACGGGGCUCAACCCCGUGUCCAUUAUCUAAACUGCUCAGCUAGAGUAUGAGAGAGGUUAUUGGAAUUUCUAGUGUAGGAGUGAAAUCCGUAGAUAUUAGAAGGAACACCGAUGGCGUAGGCAGAUAACUGGCUCAUUACUGACGCUCAGGCACGAAAGCGUGGGAGCGACCGGGAUUAGAUACCCCGUUAGUCCACGCCGUAAACGAUGGAUGCUA
rnacentral:rRNA from 1 species